rnacentral:rRNA from 1 species
GACGAACGCUGGCGGCGUGCUUAACACAUGCAAGUCGAACGGAGUGGCGAACGGGUGAGAAACACGUGGGGGAUCUGCCUUGCACUUCGGGAUAAGCUUGGGAAAAUGGGUCGAAUACCGGAUAGUGCAAGAUGAGCUCGCGGCAUAUCAGCUUGUGGGUGGGGUAAUGGACUACGAAGGCGUCGACGGGUAGCCGGACUGAGAGGGUGUACGGCCACAUUGGGACUGAGAUGCUGCCCAGAACGCUGCGGGAGGAAGUGGUGGGGAAUAUUGAACAAGGGGCGGAAGCCUGAUGCAGCGACGCCGCGUGGGGGAUGAAGGCCUUCGGGUUGUAAUCUCCUUUCGACAGGGACGCGGUACCUGUAUAAGAAGCCCCGGCUAACUACGUGCCAGCAGCCGCGGUAAUUC